GACUGGGCCUGGCUUCCAUUUUGUGGCUUCUCUGGAUUGGCAAAUCCAGGUGUUCUCUCUAUGAGGAAACUAAAGCAGACACUUAGGCAAUUUGCUGAGGAGUCCAGAGACAAGGAUUCCAGAGACACAAUUAUCGCUGGCAUCCUGUUUCAAAUCCAUCUCUCACCGAGGCGAUAGUCAAGAGGGGCUGUCAUGAAGAAGGCUGCUGAAGAUAAGCCUAUUUGAGACUCUUUGGGGCAUGUAUUUUCAUCUCUCUUGUUUGAAUGUAAGAAGGAGAAGGCACUGGAUCAUAGAGAAGACACAUAUGUAACUACACAACUUUCCGACAUGGUUUACUACUUUAAAGCCCCUCCAUCUGCAGUGUAUACCAGGAGUUUGCCUUGUAGAACGAACACGCUGCCUGCCGUGUUCAUGGUACAUUAAUAAGGAGGUAAAGUUUGAAAUCUGUUCAAGACAGGCUGCCCAGGGGGAGUUGUGAAGGUGACCUGAAGACUAAACAUACACAGGUGCUAUGAAGUCCUGCAAUUAAGAUUCUGCAGGAGCUUUGUCGAGCUCCAGUUCUCCAAAAUGAGAGAGAGAGGAAGAGAGAGAGAGAGACCCUAUAAAUGUGCUGUGGUAUUGGCAAAGUAAUAUCUCCAAGACAGAUACAGGCUCCUCAAAGAGAAAGGAUUUUAAAUGGAUCUUACUAGAUAAUGAGAUUUUUAAGCCUGAGACACAGCUAGAGAAAGAAAGUUUCCACUUCAGGCUUAGUGGACAACCUGAGAAGUGGAACACAGCACUUCAG